rnacentral:misc_RNA from 1 species
GAUGAAGAACGUAGCGAAAUGCGAUAAGUAAUGUGAAUUGCAGAAUUCAGUGAAUCAUCGAAUCUUUGAACGCAUCUUGCGCUCCUUGGUAUUCUGAGGAGCAUGCCUGUUUGAGUGUCAUUAAAUUCUCAACUACACUGACUUUGAAUUGGUGUGGCUUGGAUUUGGGGGGAAAAUUGUUGUGGGCUUUUUGUAUAGUCUGCUCCCCUGAAAUUGAUUAGCGGUACCUUUGUGGAACUGUCUACAGGUGUGAUAAUUAUCUACAUCUUAGACAUCUGCUGGAAUGCUGCUUUCUAAACCUUACUUGUAUCGACAAUCUUGACCUCAAAUCAGGUAGGACUACCCGCUGAACUUAAGCAUAUCAAUAAGCGGAGGA